UCCAGCCCUGACGUGGCUUAGGAGGCCCUUUGAGACCAAGUCCUUUCGCUCUAGCCCUUCUCGUCACCGUCCAGCCCUACUGGCUGCCAGGGAGUGCCCAGAGCACAGGAGGUGACAUCAGCCACCAAGUGCGCUUGGAGGCCAGACGAAGCUGUUGGAUUCCCUGGAGCUAGAGAGACAGACAGCUGUGGGCUGCUUGGUGUGGGUGUGAGAAUUGAACGCUGGUCCUCUGCAAAAGCAACGAGUGCUUGUGACCACUGAGCCAUCUCCUCGGCCCCACCCGCACCCUGUCUUUCUGUGGUUUGACCCCACCUAUGUGAGUGGUGGUCUAAAGGUGGAACUGAAUACCCCUCAGAGGCUAAAGGCUCCGUCUCCGGCUUGGCGCUAUUGGAAGGUGAUAGUAGGGUAAAGAGGCAGGCCGGCUCAGUUCAUGGCAGGGAGGAGAGGUAAG